ACUGCGUUGCUUCUAAAAAAGAACGUGAAAUGAGCGGGACCUCAAAAUUUUUGUAUAUACUAAUGUACAAGAAGAUGAAAAAUAUCCAAAUAUAUCUAUAGGUCUGUUUUUUGUUCAUUAAUAUAUGACAAGGUAUAUAUUUUUGAUAAACAAAAUAUAUGAAAAGGGUGGGGUACUUGAUGUCUCAGCUGCUCACCCCUACCAAAAAAAAAUUGAAGUGGCCCCCCCGAG
rnacentral:lncRNA from 1 species